AGAGUUUGAUCCUGGCUCAGGAUAAACGCUGGCGGCGCACAUAAGACAUGCAAGUCGAACGGACUUAAUCGAAAUAUUUAUAUUUUGAAGCGGUUAGUGGCGGACUGGUGAGUAACGCGUAAGGAACCUGCCUAUUAGAGGGGAAUAACAGUGAGAAAUCAUUGCUAAUACCGCAUAUGCCAUAGAUAUCACAUGAUAACAGUGGGAAAGGAGCAAUCCGCUAAUAGAUGGCCUUGCGUCUGAUUAGAUAGUUGGUGGGGUAACGGCCUACCAAGUCGACGAUCAGUAGCCGGACUGAGAGGUUGAACGGCCACAUUGGGACUGAGAUACGGCCCAGACUCCUACGGGAGGCAGCAGUCGGGAAUAUUGCGCAAUGGAGGAAACUCUGACGCAGUGACGCCGCGUAUAGGAAGAAGGUUUUCGGAUUGUAAACUAUUGUCGUUAGGGAAGAGAAAGGACAGUACCUAAGGAGGAAGCUCCGGCUAACUACGUGCCAGCAGCCGCGGUAAUACGUAGGGAGCGAGCGUUAUCCGGAAUUAUUGGGUGUAAAGGGUGCGUAGACGGGAGAACAAGUUAGUUGUGAAAUACCUCGGCUCAACUGAGGAACUGCAACUAAAACUGUACUUCUUGAGUGCAGGAGAGGUAAGUGGAAUUCCUAGUGUAGCGGUGAAAUGCGUAGAUAUUAGGAGGAACACCAGUGGCGAAGGCGGCUUUCUGGACUGAAACUGACACUGAGGCACGAAAGUGUGGGGAGCAAACAGGAUUAGAUACCCUGGUAGUCCACACCGUAAACGAUGGAUACUAGGUGUAGGAGGUAUUAAGCCUUCUGUGCCGUCGCAAACGCAGUAAGUAUCCCACCUGGGGAGUACGGCCGCAAGGUUGAAACUCAAAGGAAUUGACGGGGGCCCGCACAAGCAGUGGAGUAUGUGGUUUAAUUCGAAGCAACGCGAAGAACCUUACCAGGGCUUGACAUCCCCUGACGGCUCUAGAGAUAGAGAGUUCCCUUCGGGGACAGGGAGACAGGUGGUGCAUGGUUGUCGUCAGCUCGUGUCGUGAGAUGUUGGGU
rnacentral:rRNA from 1 species